GGAGAGUUUCCUACGGGUGUGCGGCGGUUGGCACGGACCCCCGGCUCGCGAUCUCGGGCCGGGGGCGUGACAACUUUUAUGGUAUCAGAGCCAGGUUGGAUAAAUUCUAAGAUUAAAAAAAAAAAAACUCUGACAUGACAUGAGUGUAGGUGGGUAGACACUAGGGACAUUGGGACGUUAGUUUAUGAUGAUUGUAACAACCAAUCUAUGUACUUGUAAUGAACUGGUAAGUUUAUUAUUGGUAUGCUGCUAUCUGAUAGACAUAGAUCAGGAUGCCUCCACGUCGGACGAGAAAGACUACUCGCAGAGCUACUAAUAAGGCACCCAACCCGCAAAAUGACAGUACACCCCAACAAGCUAGUAACACCCCUCAGCAGGAGAGAGUCGUCAAUCCUGUUAGUGAUACUCAGACAGGACAACAAGAGCCAGGCCUAGGCCAAGUUAUGCAGACCAUAGUGGGCCUUAUGCAGAUGCAACAGCAAGUGCAACAGCAGUUGCUCCAACAACAAGCACAGUUGCCCCAGACACAGCCACAGCAAGGACGAGGGGAACAGUGUGAACAACG
rnacentral:lncRNA from 1 species